rnacentral:rRNA from 1 species
UACAGAGGUCUCAAGCGUUGUCCGGAAUCAUUGGGCGUAAAGCGCGUGUAGGCGGCUCGAUAAGUCGGUUGUGAAAGUCGGGGGCUCAACCCUCGGAUGCCGAUCGAUACUGUCAGGCUAGAGUCCGGAAGAGGCGAGUGGAAUUCCUGGUGUAGCGGUGAAAUGCGCAGAUAUCAGGAGGAACACCAAUGGCGAAGGCAGCUCGCUGGGACGGUACUGACGCUGAGGCGCGAAAGCGUGGGGAGCAAACGGG